CCGCCACGGGGAUGCGUGCUGCGUAAGGAGGCGGGCAGGAGGAGGAGAGGUGGGGGAGGCGGGGCUGCGGUGGCGGCGCGGCGAGGCAUUGGCGUCCCUCGGCGAUGGGGGCGAACAGGGGGAUGGUGGCCGGCUCCCGCGACGGGGUCGUCACGAUCCGGCACGACGGCGACGGCCCCACGGCUAAGCAAUUGAAGAAUGCAAUCGAACAAAUUUGUCAAAUCUGUGGUGACACUGUGGGGUUCUCAGCUACGGGAGAUGUCUUUGUCGCCUGCAACGAAUGUGCCUUUCCAGUUUGUCGGCCGUGCUACGAAUAUGAGCGUAAAGAGGGGAAUCAGUGCUGUCCCCAGUGCAAGACCAGAUCCAAGAGGCACAAAGGGAGCUCUCGUGUUCCCGGAGAUGAGGACGAGGAUGGAGUUGAUGAUUUGGAUAAUGAAUUCAAUUAUGCGCAAGGCAAUGGCAAAGGUCCUCAGUGGCUGCUGCAGGGACAAGGGGAAGAUGUUGAUCUCUCUUCGUCUUCUCGACACGAACCACAUCAUAGGAUUCCGUGCCUGACAAGUGGUCAGCAGAUGUCUGGAGAUAUCCCUGAUGCUUCUCCUGACCGUCAUUCUAUUCGCAGCCCAACACCAAGCUAUGUUGAUCCAAGCAUUCCAGUACCUGUAAGGAUUGUGGACCCCUCGAAGGACUUGAAUUCUUAUGGUGUUGGAAGUGUUGACUGGAAAGAAAGAGUUGAGAGCUGGAGGGUUAAACAGGAGAAAAAUCUGAUACAGGUGACUCAUAAAUAUGCAGCAGAAGGGAAAGGGGAUAUUGAAGGAACUGGCUCAAAUGGUGAAGAUCUGCAAAUGGCUGACGAUGCACGUCUACCUCUAAGUCGCAUAGUGCCCAUAUCUCCUAACGAGCUUAACCUUUAUCGAAUAGUGAUCGUUCUCCGGCUUAUCAUCCUCUGCUUCUUCUUCCAGUACCGUAUAACUCAUCCAGUAUGGGAUGCUUAUGGAUUGUGGCUUGUAUCUGUUAUUUGUGAAGUUUGGUUUGCCUUAUCUUGGCUUCUAGAUCAGUUCCCAAAGUGGUAUCCUAUCAACCGUGAAACUUACCUGGAUAGACUUGCAUUGAGAUAUGAUAGAGAGGGUGAGCCAUCACAGUUGGCUCCGAUUGAUGUCUUUGUCAGUACAGUGGACCCACUUAAGGAACCUCCUCUGAUUACUGCCAACACUGUCCUGUCCAUUCUUGCUGUGGAUUACCCUGUUGACAAAGUAUCAUGCUAUGUGUCUGAUGACGGUUCAGCUAUGUUGACUUUUGAAGCAUUAUCAGAAACUGCAGAGUUUGCAAGAAAAUGGGUUCCCUUCUGCAAGAAACACAACAUUGAACCCAGGGCUCCAGAGUUUUACUUUGCUCAAAAGAUAGAUUACCUAAAGGACAAGGUACAACCUACUUUUGUGAAAGAAAGGCGGGCUAUGAAGAGGGAGUAUGAAGAGUUCAAGGUACGGAUCAAUGCCCUUGUAGCGAAAGCGCAAAAAAUACCUGAAGAGGGAUGGACCAUGGCUGAUGGCACUCCUUGGCCUGGAAAUAACCCAAGAGACCAUCCAGGGAUGAUCCAGGUAUUCUUGGGGCACAGUGGUGGGCUUGACACUGAUGGAAAUGAGUUGCCACGGCUCGUUUAUGUUUCUCGUGAAAAGAGGCCAGGCUUCCAACAUCACAAGAAGGCUGGUGCCAUGAAUGCUUUGAUUCGAGUAUCAGCUGUCUUGACAAACGGUGCUUAUCUUCUUAAUGUGGAUUGUGAUCACUACUUCAAUAGCAGCAAAGCUCUUAGAGAAGCUAUGUGCUUCAUGAUGGAUCCAGCACUAGGAAGGAAAACUUGCUAUGUCCAGUUUCCUCAAAGAUUUGAUGGUAUAGACUUGCAUGAUCGCUAUGCGAACCGAAACAUUGUCUUCUUUGAUAUUAAUAUGAAGGGUUUAGAUGGCAUUCAAGGGCCAGUUUAUGUGGGAACAGGAUGCUGUUUCAAUAGGCAGGCCUUGUAUGGAUACGAUCCUGUAUUGACAGAAGCUGAUUUGGAGCCUAAUAUUAUCAUUAAAAAUUGCUGUGGCAGCAGAAAGAAGAAGGACAAGAGCUAUAUUGAUUCCAAAAACCGUGCUAUGAAGAGAACUGAAUCCUCUGCUCCUAUCUUCAACAUGGAAGAUAUAGAAGAGGGCUUUGAAGGUUAUGAGGAUGAAAGAUCACUGCUUAUGUCCCAGAAAAGCUUGGAGAAACGCUUUGGCCAGUCUCCAAUUUUUAUUGCGUCCACCUUUAUGACUCAAGGUGGCAUACCACCUUCAACAAAUCCGGCUUCCCUGCUAAAGGAAGCUAUCCAUGUCAUUAGUUGUGGAUAUGAGGACAAGACAGAAUGGGGAAAAGAGAUCGGAUGGAUAUAUGGCUCUGUUACUGAGGAUAUUUUAACUGGGUUCAAGAUGCAUGCAAGAGGUUGGAUAUCCAUCUACUGCAUGCCACUUCGACCUUGCUUCAAGGGUUCUGCUCCAAUUAACCUUUCUGAUCGCCUCAAUCAAGUUUUACGUUGGGCUCUUGGUUCAGUUGAAAUUCUGCUCAGCAGACACUGUCCUAUUUGGUAUGGUUACAAUGGAAGGCUAAAGCUUCUGGAGAGAUUGGCAUACAUCAACACCAUUGUUUAUCCAAUCACGUCCAUCCCACUAGUAGCUUACUGUGUCCUUCCUGCUAUCUGUCUACUUACCAACAAAUUCAUUAUUCCUGAGAUUAGUAAUUAUGCUGGGAUGUUCUUCAUUCUGCUUUUUGCCUCCAUCUUUGCUACCGGUAUUCUGGAGCUUCGAUGGAGUGGUGUCGGUAUUGAGGACUGGUGGAGAAAUGAGCAGUUUUGGGUCAUUGGUGGCACCUCUGCACAUCUCUUUGCUGUAUUCCAGGGUCUGUUGAAAGUGUUGGCAGGGAUUGACACAAACUUUACAGUUACGUCAAAGGCAACUGACGAUGAGGGUGAUUUUGCUGAGCUAUGUGUUCAAGUGGACCAGCCUUCUAAUCCCCCCGACCACGGUGCUCGUGAUCAACCUAGUGGGCAUAGUGGCAGGAGUGUCAUACGCUAUCAACAGUGGCUACCAAUCCUGGGGUCCGCUUUUUGGGAAGCUUUUCUUCUCAAUCUGGGUGAUCCUCCACCUCUACCCUUUCCUGAAGGGUCUCAUGGGGAAACAGAACCGCACACCGACCAUUGUCAUCGUCUGGUCUGUCCUCCUCGCUUCCAUCUUCUCGCUGCUGUGGGUGAAGAUCGAUCCUUUCAUUUCACCUACACAGAAAGCUCUUUCCCGGGGGCAAUGCGGCGUAAACUGCUGAUCUGAUCUGAACUGCUCGCUGGAUUGUAACAUGGCACAGCCUCAAUCAAAGUCUACCCCACUUCGUGUAAAUACCUGAGGAGGUUAGGCAAGAUUUUGUCAGUAGAUGGAGAAGAAGAUGCGUUGUCCAAGUUAUGCCUAGCUUCUUCGGUGACUCUACUGCGGUUGUGUGGUGGGCAUCGUAAAAACUGUCAACUUAUGUCAGUGUUACUUGUUUGUUGCUAAGUAGUUGUACCAACAUUUGCCUGCCAGAACUCCGUUGCUACGUUCUCCUUGCAGGCCCCCGUGAUGUUAUUUAUGUAGGUACUCCGACUGCUAAAUUGCCCAGUUGAGAACUCUGUAACUUCCUAGAGUGUAUCACAAUAGUGCUAUGCGCACACUAUUUGCUGAUGGUGCUGCCAGUUUCCUA